rnacentral:rRNA from 1 species
AUUGAACGCUGGCGGCACGCUUAACACAUGCAAGUCGAGCGGUAACAUGGUUAGUAGCAAUACUAAUUGAUGACGAGCGGCGGACGGGUGAGUAACACGUAGGAACCUGCCCAGAAGCGGGGGACAACCAAGGGAAACUUUGGCUAAUACCGCGUAAUCUCGGGAGAGUAAAGCUGCCCGCAAGGGUGGCGCUUCUGGAGGGGCCUGCGUCCGAUUAGCUAGUUGGUGAGGUAAUGGCUCACCAAGGCUGUGAUCGGUAACUGGUCUGAGAGGACGACCAGUCACACUGGGACUGAGACACGGCCCAGACUCCUACGGGAGGCAGCAGUGGGGAAUCUUGGACAAUGGGGGCAACCCUGAUUCAGCGAUGCCGCGUGGGUGAAGAAGGCCUUCGGGUUGUAAAGCCCUUUAGGUUGGGAAGAAGUUCAUAGGCUGAAUAAUCUUAUGGGUUGACGGUACCAACAGAAUAAGCACCGGCAAACUCUGUGCCAGCCGCCGCAGUAA